UCUUUCCCCACCCUCCACUGUACACUCCAGUCAACACUGUAUUUCCUUCAGCUCCUCAAAUAUGCCAUACUCCCUGUUCUGAACCAUACACAGGCAGUCCUUCUUCCUGGAAGACCCUUCAUUCCCACUCUGCCGGGAUUCAUCCCUGUUGCCUGAAAACAAUUGGUUUUUAUGCCUAAAGAGGAGGAAAUCCUUCCCUUAACUCCAAUGGAUCAAAGAAGUCUUCUUGGAAGAGGAGCAUUUUCUCACUGCUCAGAGGAAAGAAAGACAGGGACUUUGUUUGAACUAAUCUGGAAAAAAUGAUGACGCUUCACUCAGUUAUUUUAAAAUCUGGCCACGAGGAUAUUUUUGAAACCUCGUCAUAAGAAUAUCAUUUGUCCUAUGACACAGUUGCUGUUUAUCCGAUUAUCUAAGUUAAUGAUAAUAAGAUAUACACAAAUUAAUGUUACUCCUUGGACUCAAAAUUUGAGCCUGAAAUGAAGCGAGU
rnacentral:lncRNA from 1 species